AUUGAACGCUGGCGGCAUGCCUUACACAUGCAAGUCGAACGGCAGCGGGGGAGAAGCUUGCUUUUCCUGCCGGCGAGUGGCGAACGGGUGAGUAAUACAUCGGAACGUGCCCUGUAGUGGGGGAUAACUAGUCGAAAGAUUAGCUAAUACCGCAUACGACCUGAGGGUGAAAGUGGGGGACCGCAAGGCCUCAUGCUAUAGGAGCGGCCGAUGUCUGAUUAGCUAGUUGGUGGGGUAAAGGCCUACCAAGGCGACGAUCAGUAGCUGGUCUGAGAGGACGAUCAGCCACACUGGGACUGAGACACGGCCCAGACUCCUACGGGAGGCAGCAGUGGGGAAUUUUGGACAAUGGGCGAAAGCCUGAUCCAGCAAUGCCGCGUGUGUGAAGAAGGCCUUCGGGUUGUAAAGCACUUUUGUCCGGAAAGAAAUGGCUCUGGUUAAUACCUGGGGUCGAUGACGGUACCGGAAGAAUAAGGACCGGCUAACUACGUGCCAGCAGCCGCAGUAAAAC
rnacentral:rRNA from 1 species